GAAACCAAGCAAAUGGUGGAGAUUCCAGAUGGAGGGCGCUGCAUCAACUCCAGAGUUUUCCAGGAGUUUAUUCUGGAGGCGAGGUCGGUGUGAUGCGUCUAGAGCACUUCCCUUUACUUGGACAAAUAGAGAGGAUGACUGGCUUACUCUGGUGGCUGUUUUUGCUUGGAGGAAGUCCUUGCGUUCUACACACAGAAGCGUGUUUCUUGGGCAGGAAGUGUGGCAGCAGCAGAGUCGAGAGGAACAGUGAUGACAACAGAGAGACUAACGAAUCUGAAUCUGGCCAAUGGGCUCUUCAGCAGAGUCCUGGGGUCCGGCACAGGCCUGUGAGAGUGGUGCAUACAGACGUGACCGCUGAGAACUCUGGGUAAGUGUUCAUGCACUCACUCUCACACCCACAUACACUGUGAUCAGUCUAAACUUUAGGGCCCGUUUCUGCUAUAUUUCUCACAUCUCAGUGGAUUCAGGUAUGAUGGUUUGUUUCAGAGCAGCCUUGUCUCACAAUAGUGUCAUUAUUCAACUUCAGUUCAGUUCAGUGUUGUUUCAGUUUAUUCAGCAAGAGUGUCAACGUUGCAAAGUGUAUCAAUUAUAAAAUGAGUUCAGCUAUAAGCAGCUCUGCAGAAGGCAGUUUUAUGUAAUACAUUAUGAAAGGUAAGUGACGCGUGAUUCAAACCCCUAAACUUGCAGAAACCAGCACUCUUUAUCUGUGUCUUCACUUCAUUCAUGCAUCUAAUAAUCCUGCUGCUGUCUGUGUCAUUAAUGUGAAUCAAACGGCAAAAGACAAAAAAAAAUAAAAAAUCACUCACUGUUCUUGGCUUAAUAACU
ensembl:lncRNA